rnacentral:rRNA from 1 species
UACGUAGGGUGCGAGCGUUAAUCGGAAUUACUGGGCGUAAAGGGUGCGCAGGCGGCACGAUAAGUUUGGUGUGAAAUCCCUGGGCUUAACCUAGGAACUGCACUGAAGACUGUCGUGCUAGAGUGUGCUAGAGGGGGGUAGAAUUCCUGGUGUAGCAGUGAAAUGCGUAGAGAUCAGGAGGAAUACCGAUGGCGAAGGCAGCCCCCUGGAGCACAACUGACGCUCAUGCACGAAAGCGUGGGGAGCAAACAGG